UACGUAGGGUGCAAGCGUUGUCCGGAAUUAUUGGGCGUAAAGAGCUCGUAGGCGGUUUGUCGCGUCUGCUGUGAAAAACUCGGGGCUUAACCCCCGGGCCUGCAGUGGGUACGGGCAGACUAGAGUGCGGUAGGGGAGACUGGAAUUCCUGGUGUAGCGGUGAAAUGCGCAGAUAUCAGGAGGAACACCGGUGGCGAAGGCGGGUCUCUGGGCCGUAACUGACGCUGAGGAGCGAAAGCGUGGGGAGCGAACAGG
rnacentral:rRNA from 1 species